GUUUCUGCAGAAACGAGAUUUGUCACUCGCUGCUUCUGUUAAUGGCUCGCCUUUCAUCCAAGCUGCUACCCGUUUCUACUGCAGCUGUGGUUAUCUUGUGCGUGGCCAUGACUUCCUGCAAAGCACAAGAUGCAGUCCAGAUCGUAGCAAGAGCAGCUCUGUGCUUUGAUAACCACACGGUGAUCAACAGCUGCCUGAAGCAAAUGGGGAUCGCCACCGGCGCCGCCGCACCAGGGGCGCACGGUGGCGUCGCCGGCCCGCA